UGUUUAGUAAUAAAUUCUAUAUAAGUCUUUAAAGUCUUUUGAAAGUUAAAAUAAAAGUGUAGCAAGUUGUAUCAUCAUUGGACCAAAAAAACCGAGGAAGUGUAUCAAGAAAACUUAUCACAAAUUUUGGGAGCUAGUGUCCGCAUCAAAUUAAUUGUCUGGGAAUCAUCCACUGCAAUCCUGAUCCCUCGAAAAGUUAGCUGGACGUGUUGCAUGUCCUUCGUAGCUCAGCCCCCCCUGACCUUUAUGCUAAUCUCGGGUGACCAGUGAUGCUCGUAACGAUUCGUAGGUUGUUUUCAUUGAAUCCAAUCUGUAACAACAAUGAAGGAAAAAAUCAGCGUCGAUUGUUAAAAGGGUCCGGAAACAUUCAAUGAACCUUAACGCAAGCAAUGGUUUCAAAGCCGUCCGGAUGUUUCCGUACACGGCUGGAUUGGUGGCUUCCUGAACCCGUAGAAUACUGUUAGCUGCAUCCGGUGGACGAGUGAACAAUCGGGACGGUCUGCUGGGCAGGGCUUUCGAGGCCGCAUAAUCAUCAAGGGUUCGUUCCCGAAUGUACAGAAGCGGCCUGAUGAUGCGAACCUCUUGGCCUGAGCUGGGACAACUGUUCCGAGUGAUGGCUUGCAUCGGACAGAGUUUGCCCUGAUAAAGCAACGACACCAGAAACCGAUCGGCGAGCUUAUCCAGCGUGUUUCCCUGAGCUAGAACGUUGUAACCUUUGCGCUGAGCUAUACUGAAAAACUCUACUCCCAGCUCCCGGAGGUACAGCAUCAGGGCUCGCGGGUCGACCCCACAGUCUCCGAUGCUGACGGUGGCCAGCUGGACUUUGCUGAGGUGACGUGCCCGAACAAACUGUCGCAACAGGUGCAGCAGGCAGAGCGAGGAACUGGACCCGGAGAGGCACACGAGGAUCCGGUCCCCGUCUCGAAUCAUAUCGAAGUCGUCCAGGGCCUGUGUUAAUUGAAAGGGUGUAGAAUUUUACUCAGGGUUCAAUAUAUUUGAACUUUCGAGGACCUUACAAAACCACCAUGCAGGGUUUGUGACCGUUGAAGAGAUGAUUGCCUCUCAGUCUUUAUGAGAUUUCGCUUUACAUUUUUGAAACUUAAAGAGCUUCUGUAACUUUGUUCAUAGCUCCAAAAUCGCCAGAAAAGCUUAUGAAAUGUUCGAUGUUUUAUUUUUACUACGCGUAUUUUGUUUGUUUGUGAAACCUAAGGAAAAUCUCGAUUUGAAAAUAGAACUUUAACGGAAAACUGAUAUUCAAAUCACAUCAGCAUGGUUGCUCAGUUCCAGCCUGCCAUUUCUGACAACUAGAUGGAGCUGCAACCGUGGAACUCGAAAACAAAUUCCAGGUAACUCAUUUCCCAUGAGCGACGUUGCUCAGAGUUCAUUUAAUGCUCUCUGAGAGCCAAUCGAAUUGGACGCACAGUGGGUAAAAAAUUGAAUUUUACAAACAUCGUAUAAUUAUUGAGAAAAAUUCUUACGAAGACAUAUUUCAAGAAAAAAAAAAUUGUGGUAGAGAUGAAAGGAGUAUGGGAUGAUAAAAUUGUGUAGUUUUUGUGUUUUACCACCUCAUGCAUACCUUAUGCAAGUACUCAAGAAGGCAUCCACCAAAUUACAAAAAAAACUGAUAUUUAGCUUUUUGCCAAUCACCACACAAUGGAAGCUCUCAAAAACCAAUUCUAAUGUUUUUUUUGUUAGUUUUACCAAUUAGUGAUUUUGAGUAUGGAAACAAAUCGAAAUUCUAAGGAGUUCAUCUAAAAAGACAGUUCAGUUUGAAGAUGUAUUUAA